rnacentral:rRNA from 1 species
AAACUUUCAACAACGGAUCUCUUGGUUCCGGCAUCGAUGAAGAACGCAGCGAAAUGCGAUAAGUAAUGUGAAUUGCAGAAUUCCGUGAAUCAUCGAAUCUUUGAACGCACAUUGCGCCCUC